rnacentral:rRNA from 1 species
GACGAACGCUUGCGACGUGCCUGAGAAAUGCAAGUCGAGCGGACAGAGUCCUUUCGGGGAUUUUGUUAGCGGCGAACGGUCGAGUAACACGUAACCAACUUGCCCCAGAGUCUGGGAUAGCCCUUCGAAAGAGGGAGUAAUACCGGAUGGUCUCCUGUGAAGACAUCUUUAUGGGAGUAAAGGCUUGUAUGCUUUGGGAGAGGGUUGCGUCCUAUCAGCUGGUUGGCGGGGUAACGGCCCACCAAGGCGACGACGGGUAGCUGGUCUGAGAGGAUGAUCAGCCGGAUUGGGACUGAGACACGGGCCCAAACUCCGUACGGGGGGCAGCAAUCAGGAAUCUUGCGCAAUGGGGCAACCCUGACGCAGCGACGUCGCGUGGAG